rnacentral:rRNA from 1 species
GAUGAACGCUGGCGGCGUGCCUAAUACAUGCCAGUCGAGCGAACGGACGAGAAGCUUGCUUCUCUGAUGUUAGCGGCGGACGGGUGAGUAACACGUGGAUAACCUACCUAUAAGACUGGGAUAACUUCGGGAAACCGGAGCUAAUACCGGAUAAUAUUUUGAACCGCAUGGUUCAAAAGUGAAAGACGGUCUUGCUGUCACUUAUAGAUGGAUCCGCGCUGCAUUAGCUAGUUGGUAAGGUAACGGCUUACCAAGGCAACGAUGCAUAGCCGACCUGAGAGGGUGAUCGGCCACACUGGAACUGAGACAAGGUCCAGACUCCUACGGGAGGCAGCAGUAGGGAAUCUUCCGCAAUGGGCGAAAGCCUGACGGAGCAACGCCGCGUGAGUGAUGAAGGUCUUCGGAUCGUAAAACUCUGUUAUUAGGGAAGAACAUAUGUGUAAGUAACUGUGCACAUCUUGACGGUACCUAAUCAGAAAGCCACGGCUAACUACGUG